rnacentral:tRNA from 3 species
GCCGGGGUGACGGAAUGGUAGACGUAGGGGGCUUAAAACCCCCGGAGGAAAUAAAAACCUCGUGAGAGUUCGAGUCUCUCCCCCGGUA